AUGCUUGUUUCGGCAGCACAUAUACUAAAAUUGGAAUGAUACAGAGAAGAUUAACAUGGCCCCUGCACAAGAAUGAUGCACAAAUUCGUGAAGCCUUCCAAGCUCAG